UGGCAUUAGUUGUUAUAGUUGUCUCUGGU
rnacentral:piRNA from 1 species